rnacentral:rRNA from 1 species
CCGCUGGCAACAAUCGGUCCAAUCCUUAAAGUCAUCCUCAGUUCGGACUGGGGUCUGCAACCCGACCCCACGAAGCUGGAUUCGCUAGUAAUCGCGCAUCAGCCAUGGCGCGGUGAAUACGUUCCCGGGCCUUGUACACACCGCCCGUCAAGCCAUGAAAGCCGGGGGCGCCUGAAGUCCGUGACCGCGAGGGUCGGCCUAGGGUGAAACCGGUGAUUGGGGCUAAGUCGUAACAAGGUAGC